rnacentral:rRNA from 1 species
AGAGUUUGAUCCUGGCUCAGAACGAACGCUGGCGGCAGGCCUAACACAUGCAAGUCGAGCGCAAUCCUUCGGGAUCGAGCGGCGGACGGGUUAGUAACGCGUGGGAAUAUACCCUUCACUAUGGAAUAGCCUCGGGAAACUGAGAGUAAUACCAUAUACGCCCUUCGGGGGAAAGAUUUAUCGGUGAAGGAUUAGCCCGCGUUAGAUUAGAUAGUUGGUGGGGUAAUGGCCUACCAAGUCUACGAUCUAUAGCUGGUUUUAGAGGAUGAUCAGCAACACUGGGACUGAGACACGGCCCAGACUCCUACGGGAGGCAGCAGUGGGGAAUCUUAGACAAUGGGCGCAAGCCUGAUCUAGCCAUGCCGCGUGUGUGAUGAAGGCCCUAGGGUCGUAAAGCACUUUCGCCAGGGAUGAUAAUGACAGUACCUGGUAAAGAAGCCCCGGCUAACUCCGUGCCAGCAGCCGCGGUAAUA